rnacentral:rRNA from 1 species
GAUGAACGCUAGCGGCAGGCUUAACACAUGCAAGUCGAGGGGUAGAAGUUACUUGUAACUUUGAGACCGGCGCACGGGUGCGUAACGCGUAUGCAACCUACCUUUUACAGGGGGAUAGCCCAGAGAAAUUUGGAUUAAUACCCCAUGGUAUAAUUGGAUGGCAUCAUUUGAUUAUUAAAGUUCCAACGGUAAAAGAUGGGCAUGCGUCCUAUUAGCUAGAUGGUAAGGUAACGGCUUACCAUGGCUACGAUAGGUAGGGGCCCUGAGAGGGAGAUCCCCCACACUGGUACUGAGACACGGACCAGACCCCUACGGGAGGCAGCAGUGAGGAAUAUUGGACAAUGGGCGCAAGCCUGAUCCAGCCAUGCCGCGUGCAGGAAGAAGCAUCUAUGGUGUGUAAACUGCUUUUGUACGGGAAGAAACACUCCCUCGUGAGGGAGCUUGACGGUACCGUAAGAAUAAGGAUCGGCUAACUCCGUGCCAGCAGCCGCCGUAAUAC